UUUUGACUCAGUCAGCAGUCAGUGCUCCAACAGCUAACCCGAAACUUAAGGGUUAAAAAGCUUGUUUUGUUCUUGGCUAUGUUUGGUUUCUUCUUCUUCUUCUUCUUCUAGUUUCUGCUAAUUAUGCAGUGGCAUUUACUUCCACUUACUGAUUUCUUUUCGUUUUUGGAUUGGAUGUGUUGAGGAAUGGAAACUGGAAAAGUUGCCUCCAAGUGGAAUCCUUCUAACGGCGGCCUUGACUUUUGGAGGGUGAGAUACGUCGGACUCUCCACCGGUUGUUUGUGUAUGUCAAAGAUAGCAAUUUUGUUUGGCCUCAAAUAAUGAGGUGUGUCAAAGGCACACUUGAUUAUGGUUAUACUUUGAGAGCAAGGUGUCGUGUGAAUUAGUAGGACAUUAUGAUGCAGGUUUUGCUUGGCAAUCAUGACACAAGACUAUCAACCACAAGAUCUGAGGUCCAGUAUCGUCUUUUGGUGCAGUACGAGAUAAAUUACAGUGUUGCUAUCAAGCACAAUAGCCCGAAUACAGAGCAGCAGCAACAGCAACAACUCAAAAAUGUAGCUGCUUAGUACAACUCUUGAAAUAUCUAAAUCAACCUGUUGACCAUGCAGUAAAAGAUGUAUCGUGGCAACCAGUCAACAAUUUGGUUGGCCGAGAAUUCAGUCUUUCAUGCACAGACGAAGUAUGUAGCGAUAAACUCUCAAUAUUCGCAUGAAAGUACUUAGCAGUGAAAUUUAGAUGAAGUGCAUUCAGACAGAAACAAAGUUGCCAAUCUGUUUACCAAAGGACUCAAUGAACACAAGCUUGAAGAAUUUUGCAAAUGACUUGGAAUGACCUUAAGGGUGAUAAUGAAAGAGAAAAGUCAUUGGGGGGGGGGAAGGUCACUGGUUUCUCUCUCUCUUUCUAGAUAUUUCUCACAAGGUCUAUCAUUUCUUAUUUCUAGAUUUUCCUAUAAUUAAAAUAAAUAAAAUAUCUAUUGCAAAACAGACUUAUGAAGCCUAUAAAUAGGCCACGCAUCUCUCGUUUCUCAAGUGUAGUGUGUAAGCAACCAAUCAAGUAAAUGUAUGUAUUUCAACUACUUUCCUUGUUGGCUUUCUUGGUAACAUUAUCUUUUUGGCAUCCAUAUUUGGUUGCAAUCAUAUUUCAUCCCCUAUAAGUUAUCGUUCUUUCAUUUUAGUCCUUCAUUAUUUGUUAUUUAAGUUAUUACAUAUGUACCCUCCAUUAGUUGCAAUCACAUUUCAUCCCAUAUAAGUUAUCGUUCUUUCAUUUUAAUCCUCCUUUAGUUGUUAUUUAAGUUGUUACAUGUAUAUAUAUUUGCUCCUUCAAUUGUUUUAACAUAGGGUAUGUUGUCUAAAACUGCAUUGGUGUUUCAUAGUGAUCAUAAAAGCUAUGAGGGUAAUUCUUACAUUCUAUAUACAUAGAGGGUUAUGAUGUAUUUUCUCUUAUGGAUGACAGAACCAUGAUCAUUUUGUAAUGUAUUAUUUAUAGGUCCCAUAAGCAUUUCCCUCUUUUAUUGACUUUUGUAAAUAGCACAGCUAAAACGCUGACACUUUUUUGCAGCUUUAAUUCUAAUUCAGAAGAGCAUCAACCAAGAAUCUAACACAAAGUGAUGUGGAUCACCUUUUCUAGAUGCUGCUCCACAAUAAAUCUUUAUCUACCUAUGUUUUAUAAUUGCUGAAAUCUCUGUAGUUAUUUUUUGCAACUGUAUGUUUUCAAGUUUUCAUUAAUAUGAUAGAUUUUUACUUGGUACUAUUCAUCCUUCAUUUUUUUUCUUUCUUUUAAAGCAUUAAUAUGAUGGUUGAAUUUUUAUACUUUUGAUUCUUUAUCCAAUUAUAAAAGAUGAGAACGAAGAGAGGGUUAAACUGGAAACUCCAAGGGAGGCGCAUUCUAUUGGUCCACAUAUUUCCUUCCAUCUCUGAUGUUUAUUAGGUAGCUUCUAAAGAAGGACAAGGUACGCGGGGAAAUUCUGACUGCAAUUGCUUGAUAUGCAGAGCCUGCAAUUUUGGAUAAAAUAUCCUUCUAUUAAUUUGCGGAUGAGCAAUGCGCAAGCUAGAUCAAGCACUCACUCUGACCCUCAUCAGAAUCUUCAAUGUAUAGUCUUUGAAAGGAAACAAGGUUUGUUGUUGUUGUUGUUGUUUGCCCCCACCCCCCCUCAUAAACUCAUAUUACCCAGCAAUGCAUUCUCAGCUUUGAUAUAGGAUAACUGUAAUUUUUUCUUUUGAGGGGGGUGUGGGAGGGGAACUGUUUUGGUAGAAAGUGUCCGACAACUGUUUUCUCUGUGACAUUGGAAAUAUUUUUUGGUUUUGGAUGCAAAAUUCAGGUGUCUCACGUCCGUGGUCUUUUAUCCCUUAAGUUAGUUACCCUUCAUUGUCUCUUCACUUCUCUGUAUGAUUAUCCAGUGAUCUUAUUAAUUUCUUUCAACUAACAUGAUAUUUGAUCAGAAACAAUCUUCUUCUUAUGUCUGAUCAUGUUAUCUCCAAGGGGUUGCAAGCCACAACAUGAAUGCUUAUGUUUGGCUUUGACUAGACUCAAUUCAAUUUAAUUUAAGCAAUAUCAUUGGCAUAAAAGUGGAUGACAAUUGAUAAUUCAUAAUUCUUGUGUGCAAGGCAUAAGUUGAUGUGACAAUUUCAAUUCCUUUUAACACAAGCAUAUAUAGGAUGACAGAAAAAAGAAUCUUGACCAUGUGCUACUGGUUAAAAUUUCAUUGUCAUACUCAUAAUUUCUAAGGUUGCUUCAUAAGAAGUACAACAGAUACAUAAACCUUAGCUGAGGUGGUUGUUUUCUUUUUCCUCUCUUUUGGUUACUUGUGAUGGCCGUGUUGGUUGUUUGCUUUACUUGCAUAUAAUUGUAAAUAAAGAAACAUGUUUGUGGUUUCAACGUUCCUUGUCUUCCUUGUUUGAUCCUUGCAUCUAUUCUGUGAGUUUUAACAAGCGAAGCAUAUACUAUGAGGGACUGAGGGCAUCUGUUCCUAAUACAUAGUGAUAAAGAAAAAUUAUUUGAAGGUGAAUUUUAUACUUUUCAAAAGAUUUGGGGAACUUGGUAAUGUCCUUUUUUUGAUGAUUUCGUUCAGUAAAGUUUGACUAGUAACUUCACCGUAAAAACUUAAAUGUAGCUAGCAGUGUUCCAAGCUGCCUGUUUGGUUUAUUCUGCAAACUCACCAACCAUUAUAUAUAUUUCUUGCCAAUAUGUUAUUGUUCAAGCUCUUAGUCCACCACUAAUAGCAGAGUUGAUUCGCAUGUUGCAUCUUAUUAUUUAUGUACCAGCUGAAUGUCAGAAACCAAGACCUACCUGCCGCCUUACAUGCUCAGGAGUCAACCUCAGUGUUAAAAACCAUGAUAGAUGAUGCAUUAGGCAUAUUGGCUAAUGCAUUAAACAGCAUUGUUCUUAUGUUUUACAGCUUAUUCUUUUCUUUUAUUGAAAUGUACUGCAAUCUGUGCUUGUUCAGUUGUUAUUUUCUUUUUUAAUUUUCCCAAGUCCAUCAACAACUGUGUCAAGUAUUCCAUUUUUGAAACUAGGACAGUACAAAGUACUUCUCAAGGGUUCUACUGCUAUGUUGAUAGAGGAGAGGAAUCUAGCAGAGAUGCCUUGUAAAAACAGUCAAUUUCUGAUAAACAUGCUUUCACCAAAGCAAGAAACGACAAACGUGCUGAGAAACCUAUCAUACAAUGUAUUUGGUCAUUUUAGCUUUUAUAUUUUCUUUUAAUUGAUAAGGAAAUGAAAGCUACUGAUUUAUUUUAAUUGAUAGGAAAUGAAAGGUGUUGAUAUGUUCUGCAGCCAUUCUUUGUGAAUUAAACUUCAAAACCUUUUUAUCAGAUCAUGUAAACCAUUACUUGGAUCAGGCUAGUUGGAGAAAGGAGUUGAAAGGAAAGGAACAGCAUCAUAACUUUCUUUUGCAUGAACUGGCAUCCUAUGGUCUUCAGGCUCUUCAUGAGCUAGUUUCUUUAGUUCAUGACCAUGUUAAUGGUUCUGAUAAAAAUCAACCAGUUUUGUCUAAUGAAGAAAUUGUUUGAUGUGGUCUGCUGACAAAUGAGCAAAACAAAACUUUAAUGACUGAAACAUUUUCAUUUACAAGAUGAUCCAGUGACAAAAAUUGACGGGAUCCUUGAACCAGGCAUCUUUUUGGAUAUAUUUCUUGCCAUUGUGGUGAGUUGCAAUCCCCUCUAAAGAAUAUUUACACUUUUAGCAUGUGCUUGGGAUUUUUGUUAAUGCUAUUUUGAAUUGGUGCUUAUCUAAGUGAGGCUUCUGUCCUGUUUUAACACUUGUGAAAAAACUAAAUAUGAGAAGAUUGAGUUCUGCAUGAAGGAACUUAAAACAAUAGCAUGAUGAAUGGAUUACAGGUUACCUAUUGGUUGCAUUCAUUUUUCUACCUUUCUAGUUCUUUUGUUGUUCUUACUUUUUUAUUAAGGAAUGGUAAUCCAUUUGCGCGUUGUCAAUUUCCAGCACAACUUCCUCUUAACUUGGGAAGCUCUAAUACUGCACUUGCUUUCACCAAUGGAUGCAGAAGUCCUUACACGUAAAUCUAUGAGAUAGAUAAGCAGAACAAGGAAGAAGAUUGGUACAUGUUGAUUUCUUUUCUUGUUUUCUGAUGUAAUUAUUCUUUUCUAAUGUAUGUAAUGGUUUUUGGCGUCACUAUGUUAUUCAUAUUCAUGGUUUUUGGAACAAACACUAUCAAGUGUUCUAUGGUGUUUUGAUAAUCUAUUUGCAGCAAUAGAUGCCAUUCUAAAUGGGAAAGAGUCAUUUGCUUGCCUGGGGAUGCUUUAACCUUGAAGAACCGUUUCUUUCAGAACAGAAUAUCAGUAGUUAUCAUUUUAUGGUUUCUGAGAUUUGAGAUGUCAUCUUCAAUGAGAUUCUUAUAAGAAAAACCUUUCUCCUCAAUUUCGGGUCUAACAAAUGUUUCAUUUAACUUCACUUUUCAUCUGUGGGUGGGGUGGAUGGUUGGGUGGUUUGAACUGAUUGGAGGAAUAAAUGCAAUCAUCCUGAACUGCAGUUGGUUACUAAAUCAAAUCAGUCCAUCACUGUGGUUUACUGUGAUGGGCAUAAUUGGAGUUGCAUAAAGGGUUAGAAAAUUGUUUUCAAGGUUAAAACAACAUAGAUGCUUGCUAGGUUAAUUGUUUCCAUUCUUCCAGCAGUUAUAAUCUCUGUUGACUAGCUUCUUCAGUUAUGAGGAAAGUGUUGAAAACCCUGUAAAUUGCGUGUUUCUUUUUGACAAAGAAGUGGUCACCAUUUGGUUCUACUUUGUACUGCUCUAGAUAGAUUAUUUCAAAUAAUGUUAUUCUUGGACCAUUGUGCCUAAUCAUGUUAAUGUUUAUUUCCAUGCAUACACAUCAGAAUUUAGGCUCUACUGGUUAUUAUUUGGGCUGUCUUUCCUUUCUUACAGCUGGGCAGAACAAAUCCAAUUUAUUUUGAACCCUCACCCCCCCCGCCAAAGAAAAAAAAAAAGAGUAGUCUUUAUCUUUCCUUAUAGCUGCACUUCUUUUCAUUUUGUUCUUUAUUCUUUUCCAUCAUUAUUUCCCUAGCAGGAGUGAGUGCCUCAUUGCUUUAGCAUGUUCUACAAUGGCACAGAUCAACAUUAUGCAGGUUGACUGUAAAAUUCUUCCAGGCUGGUCCAAUGACAUUUUAGUGCAUACAUUUUGAAGAUUUUGGAAUUUUGCUAUGAGAAAAUUGGUGAUCCAAAUUUAGCAAAUUUUGCUGAAAUCUGAUGCAUCCAACCCCAUAAUAUAUUAGAUUUAUAAACAUUGCAUUCUUAGUCUAACACUUUUAUAUUGCAGGUAUUAAAAAAUGUUAGGUUAAAUAUUUGGAGGCUGGAUUUUAAGGCACCAAAACUGUGUGUUGGGCGAGACAUUUUGACACAUUUUUCUUUAUGGAAUUGGUCCCAUGAUGAUCUCGAGAUUGUAGAUUGGUGCAUACUCAUUUCAGAAGCUUUCUGUCACAAUCAGUACUUUUACAUGGUCAAUUCGAUAAUCGAUGAGAUCAAAUUCAAAAUUUUAUGUUGAAGCAAAGCAAAUGGAUUGGAUUAGUUUGUGAUUCAGUCAUAGCAAGGAGAAGAGGCCAGCAUGAAUGUUGAGCAGCCAGCCAAAAGCUGUUGGAUAUGGGGACGUGCACAGAAAUUGAUAAAAGGCCUUCAAGGAAAAAUGUUGAUCCAAACUUUGAAGGUUUUAGGGAGCAUCUUUUUCAUAACCGUUGACAUUUGUUUCCCUCUUCAUCUUUUGGUCAUGUAAGUAGCGGACCACCAACACACCAACUGCACAAUUUCACACACCACUCAACUUCGCAGACCUUUUCACUCGUCACGCUUGCAACAUGUCUUUACACAGCUUCUUUACCAAAAGCCUACUUAAGUUUCGUAUUAUAUUAUUCGAAAAAAAAAAGAGAGAAAUAAUUCAUUGGAAAUUGAUUUCACAUCAGUAUUUAAUAGGUUUUCUAAGUGUGAUGGCUAGCUGAGGUGGAAAUAAUAAUGGUGUGGUCUGGUUAUUAUUUA